GAGAGAGCGAUAACAGGGAAGGAGCAGAGAAGAUUGCAUUUUAGAAUUACUGGCCAACACCUAACAAUUUAUGCCCUCAUGCAGUGCUUGGCAGCAGCUGGAGACUCCAAAGCCUGCGGUGAAUGCCCGCUGUUCCGCUUGUGUAUAAACACAGGCCUCAUCAUCCCUUGCGUUAUCUGCUGUGCGCCUGGCUUCAGCGGGGCGGAGGAGAGACCACACAGCGAGGGCCACAAAAAUUAAACCAUCUACAAUGCCAUCGCCAGGCUCGGAAUAUGAAGGGGAGGAAAGAAAUGAAGGUGACAUUUGAAAGAGAGAGGGAGAGAGAGCGCCAUACCGCCGGGUGAAGGAGGGAGCGAAGGGGGUGGGGGGGAUUUAAUAGGUCCCUGAGACACGAAGGGUGUGAGAUGAGAUGAUGAAACUGCAGGAUAGAGAAGAGCAGAGAGGAAGAUUGUGUGUCAAAAUGUGGAUGUUUGGAGAUUGGGCUUCCUACUCUGCCAAAUGAUUAAAAUGUUCCAUCUGACAUUCAUAUUCCACUAUAGGAGUUGUCUUGCCUAUGAAACAACCACUGCCUGGAAUAUGAAUUGAGGCUGCUUUUUUAGACGUGUAUGUGGCAAAUGUGGAUACAACUUGAGGAUGGCAAAUGUUUGGGGUAAAUGUUUUUUGCACUGAGCAAUUGAAUUAAAAAAUCAUUUUAUCAA